rnacentral:lncRNA from 1 species
GGAUUGAUCGAUGCUCUCUUGUGUGAGGAGAAACUGACCAUCAUGGAGGUGUAGGAUUGGAGGUGGCUCCAGAUAGAGAUAGUUAGUACGAUGUGCUUGGUGAGACUUCUCUGACGAUGCUGUGGUCGAAGCUUGAGGAGUUAUACAUAGUGAAGUGUCUCACCAACACCCUCUUCCUCUGGAGGCAGUUCUACCAACUACGGAUAAC